rnacentral:rRNA from 1 species
UGAGUAAUGCCUAGGAAUCUGCCUGGUAGUGGGGGACAACGUUUCGAAAGGAACGCUAAUACCGCAUACGUCCUACGGGAGAAAGCAGGGGACCUUCGGGCCUUGCGCUAUCAGAUGAGCCUAGGUCGGAUUAGCUAGUAGGUGAGGUAAUGGCUCACCUAGGCGACGAUCCGUAACUGGUCUGAGAGGAUGAUCAGUCACACUGGAACUGAGACACGGUCCAGACUCCUACGGGAGGCAGCAGUGGGGAAUAUUGGACAAUGGGCGAAAGCCUGAUCCAGCCAUGCCGCGUGUGUGAAGAAGGUCUUCGGAUUGUAAAGCACUUUAAGUUGGGAGGAAGGGCAGUAAGCUAAUACCUUGCUGUUUUGACGUUACCGACAGAAUAAGCACCGGCUAACUCUGUGCCAGCAGCCGCGGUAAUACAGAGGGUGCAAGCGUUAAUCGGAAUUACUGGGCGUAAAGCGCGCGUAGGUGGUUCGUUAAGUUGGAUGUGAAAGCCCCGGGCUCAACCUGGGAACUGCAUCCAAAACUGGCGAGCUAGAGUAUGGUAGAGGGGUGGGUGGAAUUUCCUGGGGUAGCGGUGAAAUGCGUAAAUAUAGGAAGGAACACCGGUGGGCGAAGGCGACCACCUGGACUGAUCUGACCACUGAGGUGCGAAAGGCGUGGGGAGCAAACAGGAUUAGAAACCCCUGGUAGUCCACGCCGUAAACGUGCCAACUAAGCCGUUGGAAUCCUUGGAGAUUUUAGUGGCGCAGCUAACGCAUUAAGUUGACCGCCUGGGGGAGUACGGCCGCAAAGGUUAAAACUCAAAUGAAUUGACGGGGGCCCGCACAAGCGGUGGAGCAUGUGGUUUAAUUCGAAGCAACGCGAAGAACCUUACCAGGCCUUGACAUGCAG